rnacentral:rRNA from 1 species
UGUUCAACGGCCGCGGUAUCCUAACCGUGCGAAGGUAGCGUAAUCACUUGUUCUUUAAAUGAGGACUAGUAUGAAUGGCACUACGAGGGUUAUACUGUCUCCUUUUUCUAAUCAGUGAAACUAAUUUUCCCGUGAAGAAGCGGGAAUAUAAUUAUAAGACGAGAAGACCCUAUGGAGCUUUAAACAACCCAGCAAUUACUUUAAAAUUUAUAAAUUUCAGAAUAUCCACUUUUUAAGCAAUAUGUCUGCAAGUUUUCGGUUGGGGUGAUCAUGGAAAAUAAUAUAACCUCCAUACUGAAUGAAUUAUCUUCUAAGCUAAAAAUUACUAAUUGAAGCAUCAACAUACUGACAUCCAUUGACCCAAUAUACUUGAUCAACGAACCAAGUUACCCUAGGGAUAACAGCGCAAUCCACUUCAAGAGCCCCUAUCGACAAGUGGGUUUACGACCUCGAUGUUGGAUCAGGGUAUCCCAGUGGCGCAGCCGCUACUAAAGGUUC